CGACGAGAUGCGGCAGUGGGGCGAGCGGCUCGGAGUCGACGUACGGAUCGCCGACUGGGCCCAGGCGGACCGGGCGUUCGACGCGCCGCUCGUCGUC
rnacentral:tRNA from 1 species